AACCUCCGCAAUGCGAGAAAUCGCGACGGGGGGACCCCAAGUGCCACUCUUAACGGGGUGGCUUUUCUUAAGUGUAAAAAGCUUUUGGAAUAAGGGCUGGGCAAGACCGGUGCCAGCCGCCGCGGUAACACCGGCAGCUCUAGUGGUAGCCAUUUUUAUUGGGCCUAAAGCGUUCGUAGCCGGUUUGAUAAGUCUCUGGUGAAAUCCUGUAGCUUAACUGUGGGAAUUGCUGGAGAUACUAUUAGACUUGAGGUCGGGAGAGGUUAGCGGUACUCCCAGGGUAGGGGUGAAAUCCUGUAAUCCUGGGAGGACCACCUGUGGCGAAGGCGGCUAACUGGAACGAACCUGACGGUGAGGGACGAAAGCCAGGGGCGCGAACCGGAUUAGAUACCCGGGUAGUCCUGGCCGUAAACGAUGUGGACUUGGUGUUGGGAUGGCUUCGAGCUGUUUCAGUGCCGAAGGGAAGCUGUUAAGUCCACCGCCUGGGAAGUACGGUCGCAAGACUAAAACUUAAAGGAAGU
rnacentral:rRNA from 1 species